UCAGACGGGCUUCCCAGUCCUGCCUCCCGUCCCUUCCUUCCACAGGUGCUAAUCCUAAGGGCAUUCCCUAAUAAACACCCAAAGCCUUAAUUCCCUUUCGGAGGCUGCUUUCCGGAGAGCGCAACCUGCCACAAAUGAGUAUGAAUUUCAGAUCAACUACUUAGGAACGCUGUGACUUUGGGGAAACCAUGACCUAUUUCCUGUAAGACUCAAUUUCCUUAUCUGCAAAAUGGGAAUAAUCGUAACUUCUUCAUAGGAUCAUGGUGAGGAGGCUGGCCUCUGACAUCCAUUUCUGAUAUGAAAUUCCAGGACUUUAAGGAGAAGUUGGAGUUUUAUCUCUGUCGUCGGUGUUCUGAACAGAAAAUAGAGGAUUUUUAGGGUGUAGAUAGAGUUUUCGUUUAUUUUUUCUUUUCAGUUGAUUUUGGAAGAAAAAUGAUGAAGGGGAGGAAGAGUUGGCUUUUGUUGUUGGGUUAGAGGAGUGAGAUUAGAUUUCUUGGGAAAUAGUCAAACAUACCAGAGUGGAUCUUUCAAUGACUGGCAAGAAUUUGCUUGGCAGGAAAAUUGCUGACUUGAUGAAGAGGGCUUCUCCACUCAAUUUUCCGGAGGAGGGAGAAAAAGAUCUUGGCAAACCAGCUUAAUGCCCCAUCGUGAAGAUGCCUGCUCCCUUUGAGCUGGAUUAGUUGCUCCCGUCCCUGUUUCCACAGAAAGCUGAAGCCAAGGGCUAGGAGAAAGGCCAAAGGGCCCACGCAGGAGCAGCAGCGCAUACAGGAUGGACAUUUAAUAAGUGCAUGAAUGAAUGAAUGAAAGUAAGACCAACUAAUAGGACUGAGGUCAACCGAGAACUGUAUGUCCCUCAAAGCUUCAGUGAGAUGAUACAGCCCACAGCUCAGAGGUCCAUUGGGAUCAGUCAUAGACCUUACUCUGCCUGGGCCGGAGACUGCCAGCUCCAACUGACCUAGAACACUGCCCCCCAAACAAGCUUUGCUCUCCACCUCAUCCACCAAGGAGCUGCAUGCCUUCCUGUCACAGAUCAGUUGGCAUCUGGGAGAAAAGAGCACGAGGAGGAGAGAGGCUGGAAAGCAGGAAACCACAUUUGCCUGACUCUUCUGGAUGAAUUUCAUUCUAUACAUUUUGGUUUACACGUAGAAAGCAGAAGUGAAGCAGAAGCCAGCUCUCUUCUGUUCAUUGGCUGUUCUCCUGCUGGUGAGCAAGAUCUUGGAGGUUUUUCUGAA
rnacentral:lncRNA from 1 species